GGUUUUCUCCUCUCCAUUACCACACCAGCACUUUGUCAUCACAAACCCUGGGAUGUCUCAGGAGAUUAAGCCCGUUGCCUUUGUCUAAUCUGGUCACUGUCCUGAGAUGCCAGAGCAGUGAUAUGCACAGAUUUGGUGAGAAAUUAAAAAGAAUUAAGCCUGAGCUAUAAUUAAGCAAGGCAAUAAUUAAGCAUGAUUAAACUAAGUCUAGAUUAAACAGACCGUUUAAAUAUCUCAGUAGGUAUUUUUAUGCAGAUCACCUGACAACUCUCCAUUUCAUUUAGUGAACAUUUGGUGCAAAGGAUGUCCUGUGACCUGCUCUGUCAGCACAGCCGUGUCCUCACUUGGUCUAACCAAGCUGCCAAAAGCGGAAGCCUUUUACCACCUGUUUUAUGAUGAGGUUGGAGCUUGGUGAUCUUUGAGGUCCCUUCCAACCCAAGCCAUUCUAUGCCUCUGUGAGUCUAUCAUUCUGUUUAGCUCUCUGAGCUUGCAGAAGUUCUGUGCCACGUGCUCCCCAGCAAGCUGUGCUCAGUGCUCCUGGCCUCACUGCCCUUGUCUGGGCAUGUGGGAGAAGCUGGGAAUAGGCAGCACCAAAGUGAAUCAAAUCAAAUUCAUCCAGCCCUGCAGAAUGGCUGCUGAAGCAUUUUAGGCAUGUGUUCUUUUGAAUAAUGAUGUGAUUGAGUAUACUGGUGUAAUUAUGGUGUCUGCUGUGGCAGCAAGUGUGGGUAACCCAGGGCAGCCCCAGCUCAGCCCCUUGUAUAUGCACAGGGAGUGGAUUCAUCAUGGACAUCACAACAACAAUUAGAGCUGUGGCCCCAGCUCCCCAUCUCAACCUGUGCGUGGGAAGAACUUAAGGACUGCCGUGAACAUUCCAGAGGUAAAAACUUCAUUUAUUUUUUGCCUCUAAUUUGUAGGAGUGUGCUGUGCUUGGUGGAGGAGGUCAUGCAUGCCAUCACAGUCAGCAGUGGACCUCCCAGCAGAGGCACAUGGUGCAUGAAGGGACAAGGCAAACCCCACAGGCGCUUGGACCCACAGCAGUCCUUUGGAAGGCAGAUAGACGAUUUCAGCUGUGCCAUUGAUGUACGCUCCUCCAACCCAGGUGGCUGCAAACAUGAAAGACACAAAGGUUCUAGGUCCAAGGUCCAAGGCUAAUGCAGCAGAUAGGGCUGAGACUGCGUCUGUUCAAAGCUGUCUGAACUAAACCUACAAUAAUAAUCAAAAUAAGCCCAGGGAGCGGGGAAAGGAGAUUUACUGCUGACCCACUGAAGGCACUGCUUUCUGAGAUACAAAGCAGCACAUCUUCAUUUCAUAGAAUCAUAGAAUGAUUAAGGUUGGAAAAAACCUCCAAGAUCAUCCAGUCCAACCAUCAACCCAACUCCAUCAUGCCCAUCUACCACAUCCCUCAGUGCCACAUCUCCACAUUUCUUGAACAUCUCCAGGACUGUGACUCCACCACCUCCCUGGGCAGCCUGUGCCAGUGCAUCACCACUCUUUUGAGAAGGAUGUGGAGCAGUUGUUGUAGGACAAAAUGUAAGUGAGAACUUUACACACUGAGAUGGAAAAGACUAGAGAAAAAAUAUAUGUAAUGUAAUUGAAGCUGGGGUGGUUUUGCUGAUGUGUAGUGUCUACAAGAAGCAUUGUGCAAGCAUGAAAUUGCAUCAAGACCAAUUCCCCACUGA